AUGCAAGUCGAACGGUAACAGGAAGCAGCUUGCUGCUUUGCUGACGAGUGGCGGACGGGUGAGUAAUGUCUGGGAAACUGCCCGAUGGAGGGGGAUAACUACUGGAAACGGUAGCUAAUACCGCAUAACGUCGCAAGACCAAAGAGGGGGACCUUCGGGCCUCUUGCCAUCGGAUGUGCCCAGAUGGGAUUAGCUAGUAGGUGGGGUAAAGGCUCACCUAGGCGACGAUCCCUAGCUGGUCUGAGAGGAUGACCAGCCACACUGGAACUGAGACACGGUCCAGACUCCUACG
rnacentral:rRNA from 1 species